rnacentral:rRNA from 1 species
GAUGAACGCUAGCGGCAGGCUUAAUACAUGCAAGUCGUGGGGCAGCAGGGGUAGCAAUACCCGCUGGCGACCGGCAAACGGGUGCGGAACACGUACGCAACCUUCCUUUAACUGGAGAAUAGCCCCUCGAAAGAGGGAUUAAUACUCCGUAACAUCUCGAUGUGGCAUCAUAACGGGAUUAUAGCUCCGGCGGUUAAAGAUGGGCGUGCGCCUGAUUAGAUAGUUGGCGGGGUAACGGCCCACCAAGUCUGCGAUCAGUAACUGGUGUGAGAGCACGACCAGUCACACGGGCACUGAGACACGGGCCCGACUCCUACGGGAGGCAGCAGUAAGGAAUAUUGGUCAAUGGACGCAAGUCUGAACCAGCCAUGCCGCGUGGAGGAUUAAGGCCCUNUGGGUUGUAAACUCCUUUUUAUCUGGGAANAAAUGCCUAUUUUUCUAAAUGGUUUGACGGUACCAGAGGAAUAAGCACCGGCUAACUCCGUGCCAGCCGCCG